AUUGAACGCUGGCGGCAUGCCUUACACAUGCAAGUCGAACGGCAGCACGGGAGCAAUCCUGGUAGCGAGUGGCGAACGGGUGAGUAAUAUAUCGGAACGUGCCCGGUCGUGGGGGAUAACGUAGCGAAAGCUACGCUAAUACCGCAUACGAUCUACGGAUGAAAGCGGGGGAUCGCAAGACCUCGCGCGAUUGGAGCGGCCGAUAUCAGAUUAGGUAGUUGGUGAGGUAAAGGCUCACCAAGCCGACGAUCUGUAGCUGGUCUGAGAGGACGACCAGCCACACUGGGACUGAGACACGGCCCAGACUCCUACGGGAGGCAGCAGUGGGGAAUUUUGGACAAUGGGCGCAAGCCUGAUCCAGCAAUGCCGCGUGCAGGAUGAAGGCC
rnacentral:rRNA from 1 species